AAGUUUUGAUGAUGAACAGAUUUGCACAAGUCAAGAUCCAUGAAGACAAAUUGAAGAUCUUUGUAUUUUAUAAAGCUUUUAUAAUAAUCAAAGUUGAUGUAAUAGUGCUCAAAUAUGUAUUAGGGUUGAUUCAUGUAAUUUAUACUUGGUUAAUUUAUUUUUGAGAAUCAAACACAAGCUGUUUUAAUCGAUUAAACUCAGUUUUAAUCGAUUAAAACGAGGCUGGCACUGAAAACCCAACUGCCCCUGUAAUAAUCGAUUAAAGAUAAUAAUAAUCGAUUAGUUAAUCGAUUAUUCCUGAGAAUAAUCGAUUAACACUAGCCAUUGGGGGUUUCAGAUUCGAAAAACUAGUCGUUGUACUCAUUUUAAUCGAUUAAUACUUAUGUUAAUCGAUUAAAUGCGUUAGAUGGCCCGUUUUCGAAGAAUGGAAGGGUAUUGGGCUGAGUCUAUAAAUUGGCUCACUGUUUAUUUUAAAAAAAAAACUCUUCUCUUGUGUUGAAAACCUCUGAACUCUUUGAGAACUUUGUGAGAUUGUUGAAGCUAAGGAAACUCUUGUCUGCAAAGCCCUGAAGUGCUACUGCGGUGACAGAGGAAUAGCUUGUUCAUCCUUGGUGUGUCCGAGGAAGUGCCUGGAAGAGAAUCAUCCUUCGUGAAGCAUUCGAAGGAGGUGGUCAUCCUUUGUGAAGAUUCAAAGGAGGUGUAAGUUCAUCUCUUGUGGUUUCAAGAGAGGUGGUAUUUCUAAACUCUUACAAAUUGUUUUUCUUUGUGAUUAAUAUUUGUAAUUGUUUUGUGAUAGUGAAAAAGGCCUAUCUUGUUUGAGAUAAGCGACUGGACGUAGGAUCUGUGUGAUCNGAACCAGGAUAAAAUCANCUGUGCAAUUUUUCUCUUUCCCUUACUCUUUUAUUUAUAUUUAAUUAUCUGCUCAGUAAGAAAAAUUAAGAGAAAAAUAAUAAAAGGCACGAUAAAAGUAUAUAACCAAUUCACCCCCCCCUCUUGGUUUG
rnacentral:lncRNA from 1 species